GUGUGGAUGUUGGUCGAAAAUGAGUUGGGCAAUAAAUGCACACAGUGUAGACGCGAUGAAUGAAUAAAACAAUUUUUUUUUUGUUUUUUCUGUUUGUUAAUUGCAAAAUCCAAUAGUAAAAUCAGACUGAUAUGUGAGUGACAAAUGAAAACGAAAGUGAAAAUAAUUAUGGUAAUAAUAAAAGAAAUUUAAUUCUAAUUGGAACAACAACAAGUCAAUUAAUUAUGAAAAGUAACUAGCUAAACUAUUGCAGAAAUUUGCAAAGAAAGUGUGAAGGAAAGAAACCAAAAAAAAAAGAAUUGUUAGCGAUAAAAGAAACAUAGUUAAAGAAGAUAAAUAAAAAGAAAGAGUGAAGCAAAAAUAAAGUGACGUUUAUAUUGCCAGUAAAUUAUUGUUUGUGUUUGGAGUUUCUAAUUUAUUUGCUAAAAUCGUAUGGAUUAAUAAGUUGUUAAAUAAUAAUAAAUAUUAAACUAAGAUUACAACAAAAUAAUCAAAAAGAAAUUGCGGAAGAAGGGAAACCCAAAAGGAAAUACCUCAAAAUAACAAAAAUAAUUGUUUGUGUAGUGACAUUGUGCUUGUGUGUGAAUGCGUGUGUGCAAUGUUUUGUUUUUGUAUCAGAUUUCUUAAACGGAAUAAAUUUAGUUGGAAUUCUCAAAUUUUCGUGUUCACAUAAGAAUUAACACCAACAACAACUAAACAAAUAAUUCCUAUCCACAAUUUAUUGGCUUGACAAAUAUAAAACUUGUUUGAAAAAAUCAAUCGUAAAUUGUAUGGCCAACAAAGUCAAUAAAAAUAAACAAAAUUUUAAACCAACAAUCGGAAAAAUAGUUUUGCAUUUUGCAUAUUCAAACCAAAUACAAAAAGUAAACAAAAUUGUGACCCUGAAAUUCUAAUUACAUAUUCUUGUUUUUUUUAUUAACAUAUAUGUACGUACAUAUAAAUAUUUUCUUGUCCAUUAGUUCAAUGUGUUAGCCAUUUAUUUGCAAAAAAAACAGAAAAAAACUAUUAAAUUAAACACAUGUUUUCAACGAAAAUGACAUGAAAAUAGACAAGUGAUAAGCAAAACGUAACGAAAAUAAAACAAAAUUAAGCAAAAACUGAGAAAAUACAAAGAAAAACCUAAAAAAAAUCUGCAUUAUUUGACAUUUAUCAUUUGUUUUUGUUUUAACACCUACAAAACAAAAUACAAAAAUAAAAAACAGUUUGACAACAAAAAAUUCGUAGUAUUUUGUUGUUCUACUUUAACCCAUUGUGUGUGCAUUUCGUUGGAGUAAAAUUUACGUUCCACAAGUCUCAUAAAAAGCUAAAAAAACGGUACUUCAUCGAACUUGGGUGUUACAAAAUUAUAACUAAGAAAUUGUUUAAACCAAAAGAAUAUUCCAAAAACUAAACUACAACAAAAAUAAAUUGGUAAGUUUUGCUCUUGUUUAUUUUUAUUUAUUAUU